GACGGCUUCGGGAGAGCGACCCGAUGGCUGGCAGAACCCCUGUCUCCUGCGUGAGCGAUCGCGGGAGACAGUGUUCUGUGACAACAAAUCAGUAGAAAUUUGGUGUGUUUGGCGAGGAUUUCUGUAUCGCGGCAAACGUGCAACUACAGGGCCGCAUCGCUCGGGAAGAACAGCGUUCUUCUCGCGGUCCUGUAGCCCCC
rnacentral:sRNA from 1 species